CAAGUCGAACGGCAGCACAGGAGAGCUUGCUCUCUGGGUGGCGAGUGGCGGACGGGUGAGGAAUACAUCGGAAUCUACCUUUUCGUGGGGGAUAACGUAGGGAAACUUACGCUAAUACCGCAUACGACCUUCGGGUGAAAGCAGGGGACCUUCGGGCCUUGCGCGGAUAGAUGAGCCGAUGUCGGAUUAGCUAGUUGGCGGGGUAAAGGCCCACCAAGGCGACGAUCCGUAGCUGGUCUGAGAGGAUGAUCAGCCACACUGGAACUGAGACACGGUCCAGACUCCUACGGGAGGCAGCAGUGGGGAAUAUUGGACAAUGGGCGCAAGCCUGAUCCAGCCAUACCGCGUGGGUGAAGAAGGCCUUCGGGUUGUAAAGCCCUUUUGUUGGGAAAGAAAAGCAGCCGGUUAAUACCCGGUUGUUCUGACGGUACCCAAAGAAUAAGCACCGGCUAACUUCGUGCCAGCAGCCGCGGUAAUACGAAGGGUGCAAGCGUUACUCGGAAUUACUGGGCGUAAAGCGUGCGUAGGUGGUUGUUUAAGUCUGUUGUGAAAGCCCUGGGCUCAACCUGGGAAUUGCAGUGGAUACUGGGCGACUAGAGUGUGGUAGAGGGUAGUGGAAUUCCUGGUGUAGCAGUGAAAUGCGUAGAGAUCAGGAGGAACAUCCAUGGCGAAGGCAGCUACCUGGACCAACACUGACACUGAGGCACGAAAGCGU
rnacentral:rRNA from 1 species